rnacentral:rRNA from 1 species
CCUACGGGAGGCAGCAGUAAGGAAUAUUGGACAAUGCUCGCAAGAGUGAUCCAGCCAUGCCGCGUGCAGGAAGAAUGCCCUAUGGGUAGUAAACUGCUUUUGAACUAGAGAAAACCCCAGUACGUGUACUGGGCUGAUAGUAUAGUUAGAAUAAGCAUCGGCUAACUUCGUGCCAGCAGCCGCGGUAAGACGAAGGAUGCAAGCGUUAUCCGGAUUCAUUGGGUUUAAAGGGAGCGUAGGUGGACUGAUAAGUCAGUGGUGAAAUCUCCGAGCUUAACUCGGAAAUUGCCAUUGAUACUGUUGGUCUUGAGUACAGUUGCUGUGGGCGGAAUAUGACAUGUAGUGGUGAAAUACAUAGAGAUGUCAUAGAACACCGAUUGCGAAGGCAGCUCACAAAGCUGUAACUGACACUGAGGCUCGAAAGUGCGGGGAUCAAACAGGAUUAGAUACCCUGGUAGUCCGCACCGUAAACGAUGAUUACUCGCUGCUAGGGGGCAACCUUUAGUGGCUUAGCGAAAGCGAUAAGUAAUCCACCUGGGGAGUACGCCGGCGACGGUGAAACUCAAAGGAAUUGACGGCGNGAGAGNGCGAGGCGACGACGAGGGAGGAGG